UACGUAGGGCGCAAGCGUUGUCCGGAAUUAUUGGGCGUAAAGAGCUCGUAGGCGGUCUGUUGCGUCGGCUGUGAAAACCCGGGGCUCAACUCCGGGCCUGCAGUCGAUACGGGCAAACUAGAGUUCGGUAGGGGAGACUGGAAUUCCUGGUGUAGCGGUGAAAUGCGCAGAUAUCAGGAGGAACACCGGUGGCGAAGGCGGGUCUCUGGGCCGAAACCGACGCUGAGGAGCGAAAGCAUGGGGAGCGAACAGG
rnacentral:rRNA from 1 species